rnacentral:rRNA from 1 species
GACGGAGGGUGCUAGCGUUGUUCGGAAUCACUGGGCGUAAAGGGCGCGUAGGCGGCCUUGCAAGUCGGUUGGUGAAAGCCCGGGGCUCAACCCCGGAGGUGCGGCCGAGACUGCAGGGCUGGAGGCCGGAAGAGGAGGGUGGAAUACCCAGUGCAGAGGUGAAAUUCGUAGAUAUUGGGUGGAACACCGGUGGCGAAAGCGGCUCUCUGGUCCGGACCUGACGCUGAGGCGCGAAAGCGUGGGGAGCAAACAGG